UAAAAAGAUAAGCUAAUUAAGCUUGCGGGCUCAUACCCCGCCUAUAAAGGUCCUAAUCCUUUUCUUUUUAA
rnacentral:tRNA from 1 species